rnacentral:misc_RNA from 1 species
CAUAGGCUAUACUUCCGGUUUCGAGUUGUCGUUCAUUCGUUCACGUGCACAAUAUAAGGAUUGUUUAUAUUUCUUAGAGAAGAAAAAUUCGUUCCGAGUGCCAUACCUCGUCAUAGACACCCGCUAUAAAGUUAUCAUUGCACUAUUGUUCUUUCUGUUGUAUUUGAAACUUGUAUUUAGUUUUGGUAUUCAUGUGUAGGUACAAUGUUUUUCAAGACCAAAAUAAGAAGUCGUCCCAAGGUUGUAACAAAGAUGAUGAACCCCUUGACAGGGCGAUGGGUAACCGUUAAAGAGAAUAAGCGAAAGAAAAAAGACACAGUUUCUGCUGUUCCCUCCCAGCAACCGAUCCCGACGCGACAGGUACCAGUCACAGUUUCUGCUGCUCCCUCCCAGCAACCGAUCCCGAGGCAACAGGUACCAGUCACAGUUUCUGCUGCUCCCUUCCAGCAACCGAUCCCGAGGCAACAGGUACCAGUCACAGUUUCUGCUGCUCCCUCACAGCAACCGAUCCCGACGCGACAUGUACCAGACACAGUUUCUGCUGCUUCCUCCCAGCAACCGAUCCCGACAACACCAUACAUCGAUGCAGAAGAUGUCAGGGCCGUACAGUAAAGAAGAAUUCUGCAAAGCAACACCAGGAAUCUGGGGUUGAAAAGCAAAGAACAGGAUUCAGAACUCCGUGGACAGCAGCAGAAGUACUCGUUGUCCAGCAACACUUCAGUCAGGAGUUGUCUGGGCUGAAGCCAGUGACACGCAGCAGCAUUGAGAGUUUUUUGACCCAACAAACAGUGGUCAAAAGGACUUGUACUGCAGUGGGAAAUUAUCUGUUAAGGAACAGGAAGAAAAAACAGACCUAAUGAUCAGUAAUGAAUCAAAGCACCUUAUUACCAACACUGAUGACACUUGAGAUGUUGGAUUAAGUCUGAUGAACGGCACUGUGUACUUUCAAGACAUUUUCACUGCCAUGUGUCAUCUGUUUCACAGAGCUGACUGAUAGGUGGGUUCUUUCUGGGUACUCCAACUUCUUUAUCACCAACCACCUGUGUGAUAAUGUUCCAUUAUACAGCCCACCAAACUCAAGACAUUCAAAAAUUGCAAUUUUUCCUUUUUAAUAGCUGUCAGUUACAUUGAGCUAAAUGUAUUCUUCAUUAUGUUUAUGUCUUUGGAGAAGUAAACCAUUUGCCCAGUGAUGUGGUUUGAGCUUAAUACAGAAAAAGGACAUGUUGCAUGAUUAUAUUAAAUGUGUAACAGGAAAAAUGUGACACACUUGCUUUGUAGCGAAUAUGUUGCUAUCCAUGUGAAUUUGACAUGGUAGGGGUUUUUGGGUUGUGUGGCUGUUACGUAGGUUCAGAUGCUAUGAACUGACUAUUUGAUCUACACUGUUAAUGUUGCUAUUGUGGUUAUGUAGUAACUGAAUAUAUAAAAAUGCAAAGAAGUUAUAAAUGUGGAAGAUUAUAAGUUUUUUUAAUUGGUCUGUAUGAUUAAAUUCUUUGCUGGCAUGUGUUUGUGCAACAGCUUCUCCAGAUUUCAUCAUAAAUGAAAAAAAAUUAUUGUCAUUUUGGUGAUUUUUGGUAUGAUGAAAAAUUGUUUCAAGUAUUGGUUUAUAGCUUGCCUUUCCAACUUGAGAAUGAGGGAGGACCAAUUUCAUGCCUUGUCAAAUAAAACUGAGUAUACUGUAUCAUA